CUGGUCUUGACAUCCAUAGAAUUUCUUAGAAAUAAGAAAGUGCCUUAGGGAACUAUGAGACAGGUGCUGCAUGGCUGUCGUCAGCUCGUGUUGUGAAAUGUUGGGUUAAGUCCCGCAACGAGCGCAACCCUUAUCCCCUGUUGCCAUCGGUUCGGCCGGGAACUCAGAGGAGACUGCCGGUUAUAAACCGGAGGAAGGUGGGGACGACGUCAAGUCAUCAUGGCCCUUACGACCAGGGCUACACACGUGCUACAAUGGUUUAUACAAAGAGAAGCAAAUCUGUAAAGACAAGCAAACCUCAUAAAGUAAAUCGUAGUCCGGACUGGAGUCUGCAACUCGACUCCACGAAGUCGGAAUCGCUAGUAAUCGUGGAUCAGAAUGCCACGGUGAAUACGUUCCCGGGUCUUGUACACACCGC
rnacentral:rRNA from 2 species